CCCGGCUGAGACGAGGGCACUGACUAGAAAGGCAGUCGGGGGUAGUUGUGUGCGUGCCUUUGACAACACCUAGGUCCCACCUUUGCACAGCGUCCCCGCCUGCUGCCGCCCCUCGUGGAGGAAAUCCGUUCCGCUCGGCCGGCUUCCCGCCCAGGCGGCCUGGGGUGCGAAGGCUUCGUUUUCCCAUUCCCGCUGCUUCCGGUCCUGAUGGAGGGAGGCGGGCGAAGGGCCUGGGGCCUUCGGCAGCGGAAGAGGCCGCUGAGCGGGCGAGCCCCAUGGUGGUGGCCUGUAGGAGCUGCAGACCCACUCGCUCCGGCCUCCCUUGCAGGCCCCGACCCCUUGGGACUUUGCGCGGCAAAGGUCAGGCCCGCCAUCACCCCAGCCCAGGCCUAGUAGCUUCCAGGAGGCGCGUGCGGGACAGAGGCCCUGCCGGGAAGCUGGCCCCCAGCCCCAUGCAGUCCUGCCUGUUGGAGGUGUGGAAACGGCUCGGGCGCUUGGGGACCUCGUGGAAAUGAGCACAGCUCUGGUGUUACAAGGUGGCGGCCCUCCUGGGCAGCGGGUUUCCUCCUGAGAACUGGCCUUCAAGACUUACGUGUCUGUUGUCGGUCAGAACAGGUGUUAGGCUCAAAAGCUACUACGGGGAGAUUGGGACAGAGUCCCACAGAGUCAGCAUCAGCUUUGGAGGUCAAGGGUGGCGUCAGCCCUUCUUCCCCUGGAUGGACCACUUUUUCCACCUGUGGAGAGGAGUGACACAACUUGCACCUUGGGUGAACAGUCCUUUAGCCUAGAGGACAGACAGCAUUGAGUCUCUCUCUGGUACCUCUUGGAGGCCACAACCCUAGCUUUAGGUCCUCUGGUGGAUGAGCACCAAGUGAGGAGGACUUGCCCUAGCUGUGCUGAGUGGAGGACAGAUGGCUCGUGGUGAUGUGCUGAGUCUAGUUGUCUGUGUGACAUAGUGACAGUCCCUGGGGGGAGGUGGAGGGCUUCCCAGAGAGGUGACCAGAACUAAGCCCUGAGGAUGAGAAGAGUCCUGGAAGCGGGAGUGGCUGUCCUUGUUCAGGAGCCACUGGGAAGCCCAGGAUGGGACAGCAGUGCACCAAGCAAGUGUGGGGCCUUUCUGAGUGUGGCUGUCUGUCGGUUCUGGUUCACAGUGGCUCUUUUUUGUUUUUUUUCCUUUGCUUUUGGUACCAGGGCUCGAACCCAGGACCUUGCACUUGGAGGCAGCUGCGGUGCC
ensembl:lncRNA